CUAAUUCACUGAAGGUUUGGCCAGCUCUGAAAAUAAGAUAAAUUGAGACCAAAGUCACUUGCCCAAGGAUAUGAUGUGGACAAUCUCUCUGCCAAAUCUGUAUGUGAAAAGAGCAAGACAUAAAAGCCAGGGAUUUAGCUCAGUGGUUUCACUGCCUCCUGCGCAAGCGCAAGGACCCGAGUUUGAUCCCUGGUACCAAAAAAAAAAAAAAAAGAGCAAGGAAUAGCAUUGCUGAAAAAGAAAAUGAGACCGGUUGCAUGAAAGACAACCAUCAGGUCUAUGGAGCUGCAGAAAAGUAAGCCAACAAAGAAUAAGCAUUAACUCCAGGGACCAUGAGCUCAAUGCUGGCAUUUCAGUUCAGCAGACUGAGAGAAUGAACCAUCUCAAAGGAACCCCUACCACCCAAGUGAGAGCAAACCACCUCAAAGGACACACUGAACUCAUCGGUUAAUUUGGAUAAGAGAACAACCAAGGAAGAGUUUUCUAGUAUGCUCAGCACAGGAGUGAUAUAGAUAGCUCUCAGGACUCAGUCCAGUUGUUGGACUACUCCACUUCUUGAAAACAAGUUUUUCAUAAUUCCAAACAUGAAGUUUUUACCCACAAAUAGAG
rnacentral:lncRNA from 1 species